rnacentral:rRNA from 1 species
UACGGAGGGUGCAAGCGUUAUCCGGAUUCACUGGGUUUAAAGGGUGCGUAGGAGGGCAGGUAAGUCAGUGGUGAAAUCUCUGGGCUCAACCCAGAAACUGCCGUUGAUACUAUCUGUCUUGAAUACUGUGGAGGUGAGCGGAAUAUGUCAUGUAGCGGUGAAAUGCUUAGAUAUGACAUAGAACACCAAUUGCGAAGGCAGCUCACUACACAUAUAUUGACUCUGAGGCACGAAAGCGUGGGGAUCAAACAGG